CCUACGGGCGGCAGCAGUGGGGAAUAUUGGGCAAUGGGCGCAAGCCUGACCCAGCAAUGCCGCGUGAAGGAAGAAGGCUUUCGGGUUGUAAACUUCUUUGACAGGGGAAGAGCAGAUGAAGUUACCUUGAAAACAAGCUACGGCUAAAUACGUGCCAGCAGCCGCGGUAAUACGUUGGUGGCAAGCGUUGUCAGGAUUUACUGGGUGUAAAGGGCCUGUAGCCGGGAAGGCAAGUCAGAUGUGAAAUCCGGAGGCUCAACCUCCGAAUUGCAUUUGAAACUGUUUUUCUUGAGUACUGGAGAGGGGGACGGAAUUCCUUGUGUAGCGGUGAAAUGCGUAGAGAUAAGGAGGAAAACCAGUGGCGAAGGCGGUCUGCUGGACAGCAACUGACGGUGAGGCGCGAAAGCGUGGGGAGCAAACAGGAUUAGAUACCCUUGUAGUC
rnacentral:rRNA from 1 species